UUGAAUAAUUACUAGUCCAUUUUUGAGAGAGAAAGGAAAGCAUACCCUCCUGGACAAAAAAUUAUAAUUGGUAGACUGCAGCGCUUCAGAGCUGGUACUGGAUGACCUCAAGCAUUUGGCGGAUCUCGUACUCAAGCAUUUGAGGCGAUAAUGGACGAGACUCCUGGGGAAAGGAUGCAGAGAAUGAAGCAUUUGGCGGAUCUCGUACUCAAGCAUUUGAGGCGAUAAUGGACGAGACUCCUGGGGAAAGGAUGCAGAGAAUGAAGAGAAAACACUCGUAUGUGGGAGCACUGAGAAGCAGGUUAGCUCCGGCUCCAUGCGUAUUAGUGGGACGACAGUCGUGGCAUCCAGAGGCGCGAAUGAGGUGGUGAUAUGGUGAGCAGAGGCUGGCAUGCCACCCCAAUGGACAUCUGAACAAUACAAGUUGUGCAGCAUCUGUACGGGACAGGGUAUGAGCACAAGGUCAAGCCAUCGCCAGCAUGAUCGGCACCCUGAACAACGAAGUGAUUCAUGGUAUGGCGCGUUCUUCGCUUUUAAGCGAAAAGGAAGUUUGCAUCACCCUUUUCCUCGUGGAGGAGUACUUGAAAGGUUCUGGUUUUCAUGGCAUGAUUGUACGGGUGUGAUGUACAAGCAUGUACCAUGCAUACGACUGCUAGUCUUGCAAGAGUUUGCUGCUCAAUGAAAUCGUGCGAGUCAAGUUUGCACCUUGCAGCAUUUCAUGCUCAUGUCGUAUCCAUGCUAUUGACACGUUGCCUUUUAGGCCUCUACGUGACAAGUCUGCCUUAUUUAGGUGUCUAAUUAUUUAUCUAUCUCCCGUAAACGGGUUCAUAAUCGUCUUUAUUUUAUGUCUUCACACAAGGCCUGGGGCCUUCCUUAUUUGGUAUACCCUGUUAUUUCCUUAGCUGGCUCCCGCUCUUUGUGAUACAGUUUAUACACAUUAUUGCUAAGGUUUGGUACACUGCGGCAUGCGGGUGUACUAUGGUUCAUUUUGUCCUAUAGUUCGUACGGUGGAUCAGCCUCCUGCCCGUAGUUAGAUAUUAUCAUGAUUAUGGCAAUCGCCUUUCUCUCUCGCUCUCUCUUGCCUUCCGCCUUCAGACAGAAGCUUCGGCUUUCGUCUGUCAAAGUUGCCUUGUGCUCUCAAUAUUGGCUCUUGAACUAAGUAAC